GCCUUGGGCUACACACACGCUACAAUGGGUGAUACAAAGAGAAGCCAACUCGCGAGAGCGCGCCAAUCUCAAAAAGCCAUCCUCAGUUCGGAUUGGAGUCUGCAACUCGCCUGCAUGAAGCCGGAAUCGCUAGUAAUCGCGGAUCAGCAUGCCGCGGUGAAUACGUUCCCGGGCCUU
rnacentral:rRNA from 1 species